rnacentral:rRNA from 1 species
UACGGGAGGCAGCAGUUGGGAAUAUUGGCCAAUGGAGGCAAUUCUGACCCAGCCCUGCCGCGUGAAGGAAGACGGCCUUGUGGGUUGUAAACUUUUUUUAUACAGGAAGAAAAAGGUCAUGCGUGACCACUUGACGGUACUGUAUGAAUAAGCACCGGCUAACUCCGUGCCAGCAGCCGCGGUAAUACGGAGGGUGCAAGCGUUGUCCGGAUUUAUUGGGUUUAAAGGGUGCGCAGGCGGUUCGUUAAGUCAGUGGUGAAAUCCCGCAGCUCAACUGCGGAACUGCCAUUGAUACUGGCGUACUUGAGUACGGACGAGGUAGGCGGAAUUUAUGGUGUAGCGGUGAAAUGCAUAGAUACCAUAAAGAACACCGAUAGCGAAGGCAGCUUACUAGACCGUAACUGACGCUCAUGCACGAAAGCGUGGGGAGCGAACAGGAUUAGAUACCC